GUCCGCUGGAAAAACACAUUGCUGGGUAGUAGAGGUGAGUCUGACUGGGUAGAGCUCCUUCUGUGGUGGGAGACAGACAGCACCUGCUGCUCUCACACUGUGAGUGAGUGAGUGAGUGAGUGAGUGAGUGAGUGAGUGAGUGAGUGAGUGAGUGAUGUCGGAGUAGACAACACUGGGUGGGAAGCAUCUCAGCUGUUCUUCUCCUUGGUCUCUGAUUUCUGCAUAGUGCAUUUUAAAAUUGUGACGUGAUAAUGAAAUUAAUAAAGUAGUCAUGAUGAGGCCCAGUCAUGACAGUGUCAUAUGGGCAGAGGUGGAUUGGUUGCUGGUCCUUACAUGGAGAUCUGUAGCUUGGGUUCUUGUAUGAGUGCUGGAAUGCUGGAGGACUGGAGUGGGUGAGAUUGGAGGUCUCCAGAGAACAGUUCUCGGAUUGUAAAAUGGAUGGAAAAACAAGCACAACUACCUUCAGGACCACCGAAGAUAACUUUAAGGCAAAUUCUGCAAACUGAAUGACCAAAAUCUGACUCAACAACUGAUUUAAUCUUUUGUUAAACAUAUAAUGUAAGAAUCACUGUUGUUUUUCCAACUGUUCCCUGUAUUUUACACCCAUUAGUAGAAAGUCAAUACCAGGACCACCAACCUGUAUUGGAGUGUUUUUUGCUCUGGGUUUUCCCUGGUCUGUCCGUAGGAGUAGGGCUUGCUGCUCCCUCUCCUGCCACCUAGUGGUGUACUGUGGAAUGGCAGCAUGUUCUCAGAGCGGUCCGACUCCACCCAUAACUUACAAAGAGAGAGGGUCAAGCUCCUCACUCUGGUUCCACUCCUCAUUCUAGCAUCUCUUAUCUUAACAUGUAUGGACCAAGAACUUAAUUGAGCAUCAGACCAAAAACGUAAGACUUUAGUUCUGGUUUAACCGAGAUUACAUUUACAAUGACUAACAUUACAUGCUAAUAUAAGCAAUAUCUCAAUUACAUGCUAACGAAACUAAUACUAAAUUACACAGUGGCACUAGAAGGCAUCAACAGCUUGGUUUUAAGCCUUCUGUCCUGUCUGUAUCUGGAGGUAAGGUAGUUCAUCCUUUGGGAGAGGUGAGGCAGCUGGACCAGACCCUCUUCCAGGUUCCUCUCCUCAGUUGGGACACCUCCGACUGUAUGGCCUGCAUCGCCUCGCUGGAGAGACACCACGAGAGAGAGAUGUACUGCCUCUACCAGGAAAACAUCAACACUUCCACUAGGACCACAGCAGAAGCUGUGUGAAUCUUCACCACUCACCAUGAGGUUUAACAGGUACACUCUGACUAGGUCUGGUCAGUCAGUAGUCCACUGCAGUCCUGCACAACUGAGG
ensembl:lncRNA